UCAUAUAGCCUGAUCUCCCCGAUGCAGUGGGCAGAGGAGGAGAUGUUGACCACUCGAGAGAAGUGACCCCAUUUUCCAGAACUCUGUAGUAUGUCUAGAAGCAGCCAGGUCAACAAGAAGUGGCCCAGGCUCUCCUUUGGUGGAAUGACUUUCCCAAACCGCAGGACUGCAGAGUCACUCCUAAUCUUAAACAGCAAAUUGAAAUCCCAUCUCUUACAGAAAGGCUAAAUUGCUACUUCGCCAUACAUCCUCCUCUGCAUGCCCUGUGCAAGGUUUAACGUGCUUUCCUCUCACUUCACCAAAGGGCAAACACACUCUUGGAAUAAAAAAUACCAUAUGUCCUGA